rnacentral:rRNA from 1 species
UACGGGGGGGGCAAGCGUUGUUCGGAAUUACUGGGCGUAAAGGGCUCGUAGGUGGCCAACUAAGUCGGACGUGAAAUCCCUCGGCUUAACCGGGGAACUGCUUCCGAUACUGGAUGGCUUGAGUUUGGGAGAGGGAUGCGGAAUUCCAGGUGUAGCGGUGAAAUGCGUAGAUAUCUGGAGGAACACCGGUGGCGAAGGCGGCAUCCUGGACCGGCAUUGACGCUGAGGCGCGAAAGCCAGGGGAGCAAACGGG